UACGAAGGGGGCUAGCGUUGUUCGGAAUUACUGGGCGUAAAGCGUAUGCAGGCGGAUCGUUAAGUCGGGGGUGAAAUCCCGAGGCUCAACCUCGGAACUGCCUUCGAUACUGGCGAUCUUGAGUCCGGGAGAGGUGAGUGGAACUCCGAGUGUAGAGGUGAAAUUCGUAGAUAUUCGGAAGAACACCAGUGGCGAAGGCGGCUCACUGGCCCGGUACUGACGCUGAGAUACGAAAGCGUGGGGAGCAAGCAGG
rnacentral:rRNA from 1 species